UAGGGAAUCUUCGGCAAUGGACGGAAGUCUGACCGAGCAACGCCGCGUGAGUGAAGAAGGUUUUCGGAUCGUAUAGCUCUGUUGUUAGAGAAGAACGUUGGUAGGAGUGGAAAAUCUACCAAGUGACGGUAACUAACCAGAAAGGGACGGCUAACUACGUGCCAGCAGCCGCGGUAAUACGUAGGUCCCGAGCGUUGUCCGGAUUUAUUGGGCGUAAAGCGAGCGCAGGCGGUUCUUUAAGUCUGAAGUUAAAGGCAGUGGCUUAGCCAUUGUGCGCUUUGGAAACUGGAGGACUUGAGUGCAGAAGGGGAGAGUGGAAUUCCAUGUGUAGCGGUGAAAUGCGUAGAUAUAUGGAGGAACACCGGUGGCGAAAGCGGCUCUCUGGUCAGUAACUGACGCUGAGGCUCGAAAGCGUGGGGAGCAAACAGG
rnacentral:rRNA from 1 species